GAAAAAACAGUUGACAUUACAUUAAAAAUAUAUAUAAGAAUAAAAGUAUAAGAAAGAUAAAAAAGAAUAAAAGAAAAUUUAUAAGAAUAAGAAAUUAUAUUUAUAGUAAAAUCCGACACGUUCAUUAAAAAAAAUUCUUUUGUAGCUAAUCAUUUAGCGGGAAAAAUUAAAAAACCAUGUCAUAUAUUUUAUAGUUUGAGUAAGAAAUUGUAACGCAUAAAAGUUCGAGGAGUCAAAUUUCAUGUAUC
rnacentral:lncRNA from 1 species